UAGAGUUUGAUCCUGGCUCAGGAUGAACGCUAGCGGCAGGCCUAAUACAUGCAAGUCGUGGGGCAGCACGGAUAGCAAUAUCUGGUGGCGACCGGCGCACGGGUGCGUAACACGUAUGCAAUCUGCCCCUAACUGGAAGAUAGCCCGGAGAAAUCCGGAUUAAUAUUCCAUAAUAUUAUGAUAUGGCAUCAUAUUAUAAUUAAAGCUCAGGCGGUUAGGGAUGAGCAUGCGCGACAUUAGCUCGUUGGUGAGGUAACGGCUCACCAAGGCUACGAUGUCUAGGGGGUCUGAGAGGAUGAUCCCCCACACUGGUACUGAGACACGGACCAGACUCCUACGGGAGGCAGCAGUAAGGAAUAUUGGUCAAUGGACGCAAGUCUGAACCAGCCAUGCCGCGUGCAGGAUGACGGCCCUAUGGGUUGUAAACUGCUUUUAUACGGGAAUAAACCCCUCUACGUGUAGAGGGCUGAAUGUACCGUAAGAAUAAGGGUCGGCUAACUCCGUGCCAGCAGCCGCGGUAAUACGGAGGACCCGAGCGUUAUCCGGAUUCAUUGGGUUUAAAGGGUGCGUAGGCGGAUUUGCAAGUCAGAGGUGAAAGCCUGCAGCUUAACUGUAGAAUUGCCUUUGAUACUGCUAAUCUUGAAUGUGGUUGAGGUGGAUGGAAUGUGUCAUGUAGCGGUGAAAUGCUUAGAUAUGACACAGAACACCAAUCGCGAAGGCAGUUCACCAAACCAUUAUUGACGCUGAGGCACGAAAGCGUGGGGAGCAAACAGGAUUAGAUACCCUGGUAGUCCACGCUG
rnacentral:rRNA from 1 species